rnacentral:rRNA from 1 species
CCAGCAGCCGCGGUAAUACGGAGGGUGCGAGCGUUAAUCGGAAUUACUGGGCGUAAAGCGCAUGCAGGCGGCCUGUUAAGUCAGAUGUGAAAGACCCGGGGCGUUAACCUCGGAAUUGCAUUUGAAACUAGGCAGGCUAGAGUCUUGUAGAGGGGGUAGGAAGUUUCUAGGUGUAGCGGUGAAAUAGCGUAGAGAUCUGAAGGAAUACCAGUGGCGAAGGCGGCCCCCUCGGACAAAGACUGACGCUCAGAUGCGAAAGCGUGGGGAGCAAACAGGAUUAGAUACCCUGGUAG